rnacentral:rRNA from 1 species
AGAGCGAACGCUGGCGGCAGGCCUAACACAUGCAAGUCGAGCGCCCCGCAAGGGGAGCGGCAGACGGGAGAGUAACACGUGGGAACGUACCCUUUGGUUCGGAACAACACAGGGAAACUUGUGCUAAUACCGGAUAAGCCCUUACGGGGAAAGAUUUAUUGCCAAAGGAUCGGCCCGCGUCUGAUUAGCUUGUUGGUGAGGUAACGGCUCACCAAGGCUACGAUCAGUAGCUGGUCUGAGAGGAUGAUCAGCCUCACUGGGACUGAGACACGGCCCAGACUCCUACGGGAGGCAGCAGUGGGGAAUAUUGGACAAUGGGCGCAAGCCUGAUCCAGCCAUGCCGCGUGGAUGAUGAAGGCCCUAGGGUUGUAAAGUCCUUUCGGACGGGAAGAUAAUGACGGUACCCGUAGAACGAAGCCCCGGCUAACUUCGUGCCAGCAGCCGC